rnacentral:rRNA from 1 species
GUUAAACGCUCGUAGUUGAAAUCUUGCUGGGGACUGCCGGUCUACCCCAGUGGUUAGCACUCGGUAUUGUCCUCGGCAUUUUCCUGGGGAGAGUGUUCGCACUUCAUUGUGUGGCACAUGAUCCAGAACUUUUACUUUGAGGAAAUGAGAGUGUUUCAAGCAGGCGUACGUCGUGAAUACGUUAGCAUGGAAUAAUAGCAUAGGACCCCGGUGGGACGCUGUUGGUUGUUUCACCGAGGUAAUACAAAUAGGGAUAGUUGGGGGCAUUCGUAUUUAACUGUCAGAGGUGAAAUUCUUGGAUUUUUUAAAGACGGACUACUGCGAAAGCAUCUGCCCAGGAUGUUUUUAUUAAUCAAGAACGAAAGUUAGGGGAUCGAAGACGAUCAGAUACCGUCCUAGUCUUAACCAUAAACUAUGCCAACUAGAGAUUGGGGUCGUCAGAAUCUUGACGCCUUCAGCAACUUGAGAGAAAUCAAAGUCUUUGGGUUCCGGGGGGAGUAUGGUCGCAAGGCUGAAACUUAAAGGAAUUGACGGAAGGGCACCACCAGGAGUGGAGCCUGCGGCUUAAUUUGACUCAACACGGGGAAACUUACCAGGUCCAGACAUAGAGAGGAUUGACAGACUGAUAGCUCUUUCUUGAUUCUAUGGGUGGUGGUGCAUGGCCGUUCUUAGUUGGUGGAGUGAUUUGUCUGCUUAAUUGCGUUAAC